AAUCGCAACAUUUUACGUGGAGUCUGACCGGCGUGUUUGACUCAUUCGCGCCAAAAUUGACCUUCAUUUCCUGGAAUGGCCGUUGCAAAAAGAGGAAAGAAACGAUCAGAGUAAUAAAAAUAGCCAAACAAGUAAAGUAAUUUUGAUAAAGGUACUUUUUGUUCCAGAAUUCCCGGCCAUCGUCAGAAUGUAUACAAACAUGUUAUUGAACGUGAUCAUGAGGCAUUUGGUCACUAGGAUGUUUAUACGAUGAUUAUAUUGUUCAUUAUGGUCAUGGCCGAUGCAUCCAGAAGCGUCGUCUGCUGCGGAUGGGUCAUGGAGGGCAGAACAGCAUUAUCUGUAAAUUAAAUCAAGGUCAUUGAGAAAAAAACCCAAGAAGAGCGUAAAAUCCUUGAAAGGAAAUAAAUGGAUGUCCAGAGGUAAAAUUAUUUGAAAUUCGAUCGGCUGAAAAAUUAAUUAAGAAAAGUCGUUCAUCGCUCAUUGAGAAAAUGUCAAAUGACAGGACCGUGCUAACAUGAAUUAUAUGCUUUUGUUUUCAUGACCAUUUAAUUUUCUAGAAGGCAAACAUUUGGGUGCAUAAAUGAGUUAUAGAAUUGAUAUUGUUUUUAAAGAAAUACAACAGUCUGCAUUUUAACGAAAAGUGGCCUUUAUUAUUGAUAACACUAAUGGUUGGGGUUUGCCUUUAAUACUAUGAUGAGUUU